rnacentral:lncRNA from 1 species
ACUCUUCUUUUCAUAGCAUAAUCAGAUAAAAACAAAGGAGAACACAAAGCUUACAUUCACAGCCAACCGAAGAUUAGUAUCUGGCUAACGCCUAAUACUAAUAAUAUAAUGGGAUAUUACAUGACUGGAAAUUAUGACUGACAAGUCAUCACAAAUAAUAUUGAUAUGGUAUUUCUCAAAAGAAUUAGAAAGAUAAAAUUAAGCGAGCCCUGAUUAUAAGUGAGUGUGUGCCAAAGCUUUGUGAGGUUAUGCCUGAGCAUCAACAUGAGAAAUGAGUGCGAGCAAGUACCAAUAACUUCUGCUUCUUACGAUUUCUGAGGCUCGUACUUCAGGUAGUCAUCCUGUUUGAUUUUGAACAUCUGCCAAGAAAAGAAAAUCAUCAUGGUUAGAGCCGAGCCAGUCUCACUGGCAUACUUGCACAUAUGAGACGCGAAGCAAAGAUCCCAGCACAAUAAAUUCGAUACACGGUUCUACCUGUAACUUGGCACAUAUGGGAUGCGAAGCAAAGAUCCCAGCAUAAUAGAUUCUAACUAAUGGGUCUCAUUGUCAGGAAACUCAUGAUUCCCAAUAACAGACCACAAUAUUAAUUUCUGCAGUAACAUAAUCAAUACAGGCUGUACCUUCAAAUAUUGAUUUUAGUCGCAUUCUUUUAGAUUUUCCUGUAUUGACCAGCUUAUCCCUGAAAGAGUUGAAUAUCAGAUUAGCAAAUUAAAGAUUGGAGC